rnacentral:rRNA from 1 species
AACCUCCGCAAUGCGAGAAAUCGCGACGGGGGGACCCCAAGUGCCACUCUUAACGGGGUGGCUUUUCUUAAGUGUAAAAAGCUUUUGGAAUAAGGGCUGGGCAAGACCGGUGCCAGCCGCCGCGGUAACACCGGCAGCUCUAGUGGUAGCCAUUUUUAUUGGGCCUAAAGCGUUCGUAGCCGGUUUGAUAAGUCUCUGGUGAAAUCCUGUAGCUUAACUGUGGGAAUUGCUGGAGAUACUAUUAGACUUGAGGUCGGGAGAGGUUAGCGGUACUCCCAGGGUAGGGGUGAAAUCCUGUAAUCCUGGGAGGACCACCUGUGGCGAAGGCGGCUAACUGGAACGAACCUGACGGUGAGGGACGAAAGCCAGGGGCGCGAACCGGAUUAGAUACCCGGGUAGUCCUGGCCGUAAACGAUGUGGACUUGGUGUUGGGAUGGCUUCGAGCUGUUUCAGUGCCGAAGGGAAGCUGUUAAGUCCACCGCCUGGGAAGUACGGUCGCAAGACUGAAACUUAAAGAAU